AUAACAAUAAUUUGUUGACAAAUUUUGUAAGAAAUCGUUUUUUUUUAAAAAAAAGUUAAAAAAAAAAAAAAAAAAAAAAGAGAGAGAGAGAACGGGGAGGAAGGAACGUGCGCUGCCACAAAGGGACAGCGAAUGUUGCUUCCCCCUUUGAAAACAAAACAAAAGAAAACAAGAAAAGGAAAGAGAAGAAGAGGGGAAGAGGGAAGAGUUUGGGAGAUUAAAAGGGGAGCUAUGGGUUCUGCACUGGGAGGGCUGAAAAGAUCCUUGCUGAAAUUUUUGUGAGAGGGGAGAAGUUCUUGCUGCAAAGUGGUGAAAGAGGAGAAGUUCAAAGCUUGGUGGAUUUUCUUGGAGCUGCAAGUUUUGGAGGAGAUAAAUUCAAAGAAUUCACAAAGGAAGUCUUCAAGAGAUGUUGUCGAGGAGAGUCCUUUGGAGCAAGAGCUGGAGAAUACUGAGGCUGCGGAGUAGUCUUCUUAGGAAUUUCCUAUCUGAACACGUGUAGUGUUCGAAUCUAUAAAUUGUUUAAGUUUAAAAUUCCGUUUCUUUUAUUUUGGAUGACUGUAAUUUCGUAUUUAAAUUACACGUCGUAUUCUGACUGUUCUCUAUAUUUGAAUGAUGACGUCUUUAUUAUGUAAUAUUUGUUAUUACAUAAUCGGGAUGUUACAAAUUUUACUCUAA